rnacentral:tRNA from 1 species
GGGGCCAUAGCUCAGCUGGGAGAGCGCCUGCUUUGCAUGCAGGAGGUCGGGAGUUCGAUCCUCCCUGGCUCCACCA